GACAUCACCACCACACCGUAGCGACGCUGAAUCUUAUAACCCCGCGAGCCACGCUGGUUCCACACACCCUAGAUGCGUUCUUGGGGUUGGAUAAAUGCCCUUCCUUCCCAGGAUGUAGGGUUUCCUUGCUUGAUCCGACACCUCCUCCUUCUCUCUCCGCUUCUAUCUUCGCUUCGGUCGUCCAUCGGAAAUGGAGGAACGCAGCUGCCCGGAAGGGGGAGAUCAUGCAACUGGCGGUCCUCGCUUCCGAGGAGGCCGCGAUGGCCGAGCUGGAGACCGCGGCAGAGUACGGCAGCAGCCAGAGUGCGCCAUUUGCUAUCGCCUCACGACAUCCGGUGCUCCCAGUGCAAGCUGGUCCGGCACUGGUAAAUGAAUUUGAAUUUGAAACGCCCUCCCUUUUUAUGAAUUUGAAUUCUAGGGAUUGUUCCGUUUCUUUCUAUUCCAGCCUUUAUGAAUUGGCGUAGAAGAUGUGUAUGGGCCGUCGGGUCGAAGAAGAUGGAAUGGUUGUCACUCUUGAAAGGCUGCAUUAGUAUCAAUGAGCUACUGUGAUUUUGACCUUGUGGUUUGCAUUUUGGAGUGUGGUUGUAAAAGGAGAUGCUUGUGAGUCAGUUGAACGGUUUUAGGCAACUCAAAAGGGUUAAUGGACACUCCAAGAUGGACGGAUGUCAUUAAUCAAGGAAUAUGUUGGUGUGAGCAGGAAUCUCCAUAUGUUUCAGAUGCAUUCUGAAUGAUUGGGCAGAUGAAUAUUUUGAAAUGCUGGUUACAUGCCUAUAACAAUAUAGUCGUAGCAUGUAGGACUGAACCAAACACGGAACGUGCUACUGCUAACAUGGAAUUCACCUUGUUGCGGCUCGGGAAAGUGCGAAAUUAUUCACUUGAGACAAGGCCACGAGGAAGAAUUAUUAAAGUCCCUUGAUAUACAUUGUUACGCCAUCCUCUAAUGGCUCGAGCUUUUAGAAAAAGUGGUGAUUUGACAUGGUAUCAGAGUGGAAGGUAAAGUGUUCAAAUCCUGAGAAUAUAUUCUCCCACAGGGUCAGGAAAAUCACGUUCGGCCCACGGAUCGGGAAAUCGAGCCAGCUUUUUUAUGGUGUGAGUGUCCCUCCACCCUUGCUAGUAUAUUCCCAUGCGGAGUUCCACCCCACACGUGUGGGGGAGUUUUAAAGUCCCUUGAUAUACAUUGAUACGCCAUCCUCUAACGGCUCGAGCUUUUAGAGAAAGUGGUGAUUUGACAAGAAUGUCACCCUCUGCCCACCACGGUCCAGUUUAAUGGCAUGAAGAGCAACUUAGAUUUAAAUGUGGCAUUGUGUCGCAGACAAUCUGAAUUAAAAGACGAACUUGGAAACUGAAGAUGGAUUCCAUUCUAAACCAAGUGAUGCUCCAGGUGAGAAGGAUGAUCUUGAAGUUACCAUGGGAACAGAUCCUUCUACUGUUUCAUCAUCAACUGGCUGCUAUACAUCCACUACAGCCAUGGAUCGAUUGAUACACAGCCAAUGUUGAUUAGUCCAACCUUGCUAAAUAGCCCUCAUAUGAGUUGAAUGGUCCAAUUGCUCCUGGAAAGAGUCCUUGUUCAAGUAAUUUAAAGAAGAAGAGACCUGGUGGCAGUACUGGAAGGGUCAAUGGCAGAGUGAGUAGUUCUUCACCCUCAAGCAUUUGAUGAGCGUACAAUUGCUGAACCUUAUAUAGCCCAUGAAUCUCUGGAAGCUACUUUUGAAUUAAGCAGGGCCCGAUUUACUGAUCACAAUGAUCCCACUCAGUCCAGGUUCAGAAAAGAGGUGAUAGCAUUCUAUCUGAUUUUGGGUCUCAUUCAACGUCUUUCAUCAGUUUGUUCCCUCUUGAGUUUUCACAAAGUUCCAAUCACAAGAUCCAUACAACUGAUGAUGCAAAACGCUCCCGUGCUGGUAAUGGAAUGCCUGGUCAUAGAGUUGUGCCGUUGAAGAACUUAGUCACUGAGAACCUACCAUCUUUGGGUUCUGAAAGGUCAUGUUCUGAAACAUCAUCUUCUGUGGCUAAGGAGAGAAGUAGUGACGAGGGUUCACUGAAGUCUAGAGGACUAAGGUUAUAUCUUCUAGUUCUCCUACUGAUCAUCCAUCUACUAGCAAUGGAGCUUUCUCUUUGAAUGUUAUGUCUUCGGUCAAUGCUGUUCACACAGUGCCUAGUUCAUCCGAGACAGCGAUUUCUGCACUAAGUUGUAGUAAUGGAUUGAAAACAUCCAUGUAGAAAGUUCUUCAGCUGUUCAGAGCAUCAAAGCUUUCAAAGCACUACCAUUUAGGGUUUGGGAGUGUGGUUUCUGGAAAGAACAAGGUACUUUAUUAUUUUUCAGUUGUAUAGCACUUGACACUUGUACUCUAAUUGCAUGGUAUUCAGGAAUAUUGUGAUAUCUGCUGCCUUCAUCCUGAUUUGGUUUUGUAAGAUGCUCUUUCUAUAUGAUCUGUUCAUCAAACUUUACAACUAGGGCAGGUAUGAACUGCGCCCAUGCGGUCUCAUAAACUGCAGGAACAGGUGAAGUUUGGUUGCUUCUCAUCAAAAUACACAUGAAAUUCUUUCAAUGUCAUGCACAUCUGUGGACUUCUAGGAUGUGCACUUGGUGUCUUGGUGGUGUUUUUCUUCAUAAGUUCUUGGUCUCAUUUCAUUUGCAUUUAGUUCUGUGUUCAUGGGAAUCUGCUUAUUUUUGUUUCUGCUCUCAUUCGAAACAAAGCUGUUGGAUCAUUUCCUGGGUAUUUCUUGCUAUGUCUGACACUCUUACAACAUUGAUAGUAUAUAUAUUUUUUGUCAUGUAAUAUAUCGAUGAUGUGCUGGUAUGCUUACUGUAUUGAAACAAUUGCUUCAUAUGAUAUCCAUUUGCAUGCUCUAAUUCUCGUGUAUGGUGUUACUCUUUUUUUUUUUGAAGGCAUAUGUAAUGUGACUUUAUCCUUUCAUCUUCGGCAAUUCUGCAACAAGCUAUUUUUGUUAUUUAACUAGGUCACUGCAUCAGGGAGUCCUGGCAAACAUAUUGUUGCAAUUCAAUUUUCUGUUGUUGUCCUUGAUACUUAUAAUUCUACCUUUAUUUCUGGGCUAAAGUUCGGAGUCUUUAGACACCAUGAUGUUGAAGAAGCAAUAUUGUUGUACAACAGAGGCCACGUGCAUAGAGACAUAAUUCCUUGGUAAUUGCAUCCAGCAAUUACUUUUCAUUUUAUACAAGAACUUGCUUGAGAAGAAACAUUGCUACGGUUCUUCUUACGGAUUUUCUCCCUCUCUGGAUAAUAUUAGGAUAUUAUGACCAUGCAAUCCAUUUGAUAUUUAUUUUGCCAGAGGUGUAUUAUUGUAUCACAUAUAAGAAGUCCUUUGGUGUUUUUGAUAUAUCUACUUUAACUUCCUGCAGCUGUUGUGCUAAUGCCAUGCUCCAGUGCUUGGCUUUCACUCUGCCGCUUACUUCUUAUCUUCUUCAAGGACUCCAUAGCAAAACAUGCACGUUUCUAUUCUCUAAUCCCUCUCCAUCUUUCUUUUUCAUUCGUGUAUAGAUUAAAUUAUUUUUCUCAGACUGGAUGUUUGAUGACUUCUCACAUCGUAUAACACUGUUCUUCCUUGGGCCCAAAAACCGGGUGGUGUUUCACUUGUGAAUUUGAGAGACUUGUUUUGAGGGGACAGGAAAAGAAAUCUCCCCUAACACCAACCGGGAUUCUCCCCCAAAUACAAAGCCUUGGAAGUUGUCUGAGUCAUGGGAGAGAAGAAGAUGCCCAUGAAUUCUUAAGGUAUGCAAUUGAUACAAUGCAAUCUGUGUGCCUUAAGGAAGCUGGCAUGAAUGCAUCGGUCCCAAUGGCAGAAGAAACCACCCUUAUACAGAUGAUUUUUGGAUGUCAUCUUUGCUCUAAUGUACUUGAUCCUUGAGAAACCAUUUAAUCACAUACUGUCUUCUUAUUUAUUCUGGGUUUCUAUAGGAUCUGUUUCUAGAUGCUGAAUAAGUGGUAGAAAUAUGAUGGCUGAUAAAUGCAGAUGAAGUACAUGAAAUGCCAUGGCCAGUCUGAGUGCCAUGAAUGGAUGGUGGAUCUUAUUAUUGAGAUACAUGGGAACAUUGCAACUCUUGAAGAAGCACUUGCACAAUUUACAGCCACUGAAAUCCUAGGCAAUGAUAAUAAGUGCCUAUAUGGCAGGUAAAAACCUAUGGAGCUUGAGAAGGUCUUGUAAAAGAGGCAUGCAUGCUCUUCUACUCAAGGUGCUGGCCAUGUGCCCCAAGUACAAAAAUAGAAUGCAAUGCCCUGUGACUACACCAAAAACGUGAGAAGCAGAUGCAUGCAAGACAUUCCUUCCAGCCACACCGUAAACAGUAUUCCCAAGGGGAGGUUGAACUUUCAGUUUUGAAAGGCAGCCUCCUGCAGCAUUUAGUAGGCUCGAAGAUAUUCCAUAUUGGAUGACUCCAGAUGGCACUGACAGAAGAUUCUUCCCAGUGUAUAGGAUUCCAAAAACAGAUUUGUCCAGCGAUGAUGCGUCGCAUUUCAGCUCCUUGGAUAAAGGGUAAUGCUGUCCCGAGAGCUGCGGGGACUCGAGCAGCACUGACGAGUAUUCUGCAUACAUAUUUGGAGACUUGGGUCUUUUCAGUUGGAGCAACAGCCCCGUUAGUGUUCCAGACAGUUUAGACGUACCUCCUAGGAAUUAUGGUUAUUUGAAUUUCGAAUUACGUUCUUCAUGGCAAGGCGGGGACACCCUUUGCAGGAAUGGAAUGGAUUCUGUCAAGGCAGGAGAUGGGGUCAAGAUGUAGCAGAGGCCGCUUCAAGAGAUGAGUGGAAGAGGGUGGUGUAUUAUGACAUCAGGAGCGUAGCAAGCUAACAGAACAUGCUAGCAGUUGUGAGACUGACUGAGGCUGGGUUAAUCCAGCGACAAGAAUUCAGGUGUAUCUUUUACCAGACUUCAGGAAAUAACAACUCAACAUUUUAUUGAUGGGGAUUUGAGUUAAACAAGGGGAAUAACACGGGUGCUCUGUAUGUAAUGUACUUGUGCUGGUUUUAUUGGGAAGAAAGAAAAUCAACCGUAA